rnacentral:lncRNA from 1 species
CUGGCGCGAGGGUUUGCCGGGAGCCCAGCCAGGUACCCCCGAGAACCUGGGGCCUUGCUCGUCUGGGAGGCAGGACGGGCAGCCGGGAGAAGGGGCCGAGGGAGCCCAGGCGGCCCCUUCUGGAGGAGGGGUCCUGAGCGCAGGGCAGCGGGAUGUUACGGCUGCUGACCUACCGGGUGCCCAGUGUCCGUUUUGAUAUGGCCACAUUCCGAUAAUUAAUUGCCUCCAGCACGUGCUCUGUAGCCCCUGUAACAAAAAGGCAUAAUUCAAUUAGAUCAUCAACCGAGAAGUGGGAAGGGGGGGGGAUGCUUGUUAAGCGGCCGACCUGAGGCGGUGGAGCCCUUCCUGGGACAGCCCAGCCCAGCCCGACUGGGCGACUCUGAGGGGGUGUCCGUGCUCUGGGAGGCGCAAGGUCCCCAGAUGGCCCCGAGGAGACGAAGCCAGGGGCUUUGUGAACAGCAGGACAGAGGCAGACCUUUUCGAAUUCUAUUUUGGUAGGUUGGUGUAGCUGUUUCCUUUUUGGGAGGGUGAAUCCCUGACCCUCAAAACAGAGAGGAGGCGAAAUCUCUCCAGAUACAGCAAGUUGGCCACAUAUGAAAACAAAGCCCCCUCCUCCAAAGCAAACCACUCCUGUUAGGCAGUAAUAGUAAUAAUAAUAAAGUGAAGUUUUCCUGAUUACCUGCAGUCCUCACCCCGCAACUUGCUUUUCAGAGGAUACCCUGGGAAGAACUUUGGGGCUCAGAGUGUUGCGCUUUGGGGAGCUGUUUCUGAAAACAGAGUGGUGGCGGAAAAAGAAAAGCAAAGAAAAGUUUUUCUUGCACCCAGGCUGGAGAGAGAAGGCAGGAGUUCUCGUUCCCUCGUUUUUCAGGUCCCUCCCCAGAGACCCGAAGAGAUAGGCCUGAAGGAGAAUGGACUUGGGGUGUGAAACUUGCCUGUGUUUCUGGAGCACACAUCUAUCCAGGACCCCAAGUUCCUUCUAGCUGCCAAAUGCUCCAUUAGUUCUGAAAUGUAAAUGAUCUCAGCUCCAAAAUAAAGUGGCUAGACUAUCC